CCUACGGGGUGCUGCAGUGGGGAAUAUUGGACAAUGGGCGAAAGCCUGAUCCAGCCAUGCCGCGUGUGUGAAGAAGGCCUUCGGGUUGUAAAGCACUUUCAGUGGGGAAGAAAGCCUUGGGGCUAAUACCCUCGAGGAAGGACAUCACCCACAGAAGAAGCACCGGCUAACUCCGUGCCAGCAGCCGCGGUAAUACGGAGGGUGCGAGCGUUAAUCGGAAUUACUGGGCGUAAAGCGCGCGUAGGCGGUCUGAUAAGCCGGUUGUGAAAGCCCCGGGCUCAACCUGGGAACGGCAUCCGGAACUGUCAGGAUAGAGUGCAGGAGAGGAAGGUAGAAUUCCCGGUGUAGCAGUGAAAUGCGUAGAGAUCGGGAGGAAUACCAGUGGCGAAGGCGGCCUUCUGGACUGACACUGACGCUGAGGUGCGAAAGCGUGGGUAGCAAACAGGAUUAGAUACCCCUGUAGUC
rnacentral:rRNA from 1 species